rnacentral:rRNA from 1 species
UAAUACGGGGGGAGCAAGCGUUGUUCGGAUUCAUUGGGCGUAAAGAGCUCGUAGGCGGCUCCGUAAGUCGAGGGUGAAAUACAACGGCUCAACCGUUGAAACGCCUUCGAAACUACGGAGCUUGAGGUCGGGAGAGGAAAGCGGAAUUCCUGGAGUAGCGGUGAAAUGCGUAGAUAUCAGGAAGAACACCGGUGGCGAAGGCGGCUUUCUGGACCAAACCUGACGCUGAGGAGCGAAAGCUAGGGGAGCAAACAGGAUUAGAUACCCUGGUAGUCCUAGCCGUAAACGAUGGGCACUAGGUGUGGGAGGAUCGACCCCUUCCGUGCCGCCGUUAACGCAUUAAGUGCCCCGCCUGGGGAGUACGACCGCAAGGUUU